AGCGCGUAGGCGGGGAUUUAAGUCUGGAGUGAAAACUGUCGGCUCAACCGAGGACGGGCUCUGGAAACUGGAGGACUUGAGGGUAUAAGAGGAAAGUGGAAUUCCCCGUGUAGCGGUGAAAUGCGUAGAUAUUGGGAGGAACACCAGUGGCGAAGGCGACUUUCUGGUCUGCAACUGACGCUGAGGCGCGAAAGCGUGGGGAGCAAACGGGAUUAGAUACCCCGGUAGUCCACGCCGUAAACGAUGAGUGCUAAGUGUAAGAGGGUUCCCCCCCUUCUGUGCCGCAGCUAACACAAUAAGUGCCCCGCCUGGGGAGUACGGCCGCAAGGUUGAAACUCAAAGGAAUUGACGGGGGCCCGCACAAGCGGUGGAGUAUGUGGUUUAAUUCGAAGCAACGCGAAGAACCUUACCAGGUCUUGACAUCCCCUGACCACCCUGGAAACAUGGUUUUCCCCCUUCGGGCACACA
rnacentral:rRNA from 1 species